UUACGGACUACCAUCUUCGAUCUACCAUCUUCAAGCGAAGGCCUGGUGGUUUCCAAGUUAGGCUCUGGCGGGAUUCAAAGCCUUCAAUUAGAUGGAUUCCUGAUUAAUUAUCUCUCCCAUCUCUUCUCUAUCUUUCCUCCAUCAAAAUCAGAUCGAGGGUCUGGAGGCUCUGGCAGUACUGCAAAGAUUCAAGCGUCAUCGUUGGGAGAGACAGACCGAUCAGGCAAUUCUCCCCUUCUCCUUUUCUUUACUCCUCUUUGUCUCCUUGAUUCUUUGUUGCUCGGUGAUUCUUUCGAGGGUAUACGGAGAUUGAGAGGUUUUCAGCCAUUUGAGUGAGAAAAUGUCAACUUCAAAACAAGCAGUUAAUGAGACUGCAAAAUGGAGCCAAGCAAAUGUAGACACCCUUAUUGUUCUGAUGGUAGAGGAAGUUAAGAAAGGAAAUAGGACUACUUCGACUUUUAAUAAAGUUGGUUGGAACAACAUUGCCAAUAACUUCAAAGAAAAAACUGGGGUCAACUAUGCCAUUAUACAGUUGAAGAA